rnacentral:rRNA from 1 species
UGGGGAAUAUUGCACAAUGGGGGAAACCCUGAUGCAGCGACGCCGCGUGAGUGAGGAAGUAUUUCGGUAUGUAAAGCUCUAUCAGCAGGGAAGAAAAUGACGGUACCUGACCAAGAAGCCCCGGCUAACUACGUGCCAGCAGCCGCGGUAAUACGUAGGGGGCAAGCGUUAUCCGGAUUUACUGGGUGUAAAGGGAGCGUAGGCGGCUGUGUAAGCCAGAAGUGAAAGCCCGAGGCUCAACCACGGGACUGCUUUUGGAACUACAUGGCUUGAUUGCAGGAGAGGCAAGUGGAAUUCCUAGUG